rnacentral:rRNA from 1 species
ACGAACGCUGGCGGCAUGCCUAACACAUGCAAGUCGAACGAAGGCUUCGGCCUUAGUGGCGCACGGGUGCGUAACGCGUGGGAAUCUACCCUUAGGUUCGGAAUAACAGUUAGAAAUGACUGCUAAUACCGGAUGAUGACGUAAGUCCAAAGAUUUAUCGCCUAAGGAUGAGCCCGCGUAGGAUUAGCUUGUUGGUGAGGUAAAAGCUCACCAAGGCGACGAUCCUUAGCUGGUCUGAGAGGAUGAUCAGCCACACUGGGACUGAGACACGGCCCAGACUCCUACGGGAGGCAGCAGUGGGGAAUAUUGGACAAUGGGCGAAAGCCUGAUCCAGCAAUGCCGCGUGAGUGAUGAAGGCCUUAGGGUUGUAAAGCUCUUUUACCCGGGAUGAUAAUGACAGUACCGGGAGAAUAAGCUCCGGCUAACUCCGU